rnacentral:lncRNA from 10 species
ACAUUUCUUGCAAGGCAGGUCUACUGGUGACAAUUUUCCUCAGUUUUGAUUUGUCUGAGAAAGUAUUUCUUCUUUUUUGAAGGAUAAUUUUACUCGGUAAAUAAUUCUAGGUUGGAAGUUUUUUCCUCCUUUAAUACUAAAUGUUUUACUCCAUUCAAUUGCAUGGUUUGUGAAGAGAAGACCAAUGACAGUCUUUUUCUUCUUCCUCUACAGGUCAGUGUUUUGUAACCAGAAUAGAGGAGGUCUCAUGGAAAUUUGAAUGGAGAAAAAUGGAGAGAGAACUCAAUCACAUGGAGUGCAGUAGGAGCCAUGUACCAAACUGAAAAGGCUGUAGUCACAUCAGACAAUAGCUGAAGAAUGUGAGAAAGAAAAAUCAAAAGCACACAAAUGAGACUGUGCAGUGAAGAGGCCACAGAGACAACCAUACUGUCUUUUUGUAUCACAAUAAGCAAAAAACAGCGUCUCAGUAUGUUGCUCAGGCUGUUCUUGAACUCCUGGGCUCAAAUCAUCUCCCACCUCAGCCUCCCAAACUGCUGGGUUUACAGGCAUGACCAACUGCACCCAGGCUAUUAAGACCUUCAUGAGAGAAAUGUCCUCGCUAUUCCUGGAGGAAAGGAACAAGAAUGUUCAUAUCCCUGAAGACACAGAAACAUAAAGAAAAAUCUGAACAAACAGGCCUUGCUAAAUUCCCCCCAGUUUAUUGCCAUGAGAUUGUACACUUGUGUUUUCCAAUCAUAUUUCUCCAUGACUGUUCACUCUUCAUCAAACUAAGUAUAAAAAUAUACAUUUACCUGUUUCUUUGGGUCUUUAUUUCUUUAUUAAGGCUCCUAUAUCACAUAAAAUUUACAUUUAAUAAAUUUGUAUGUCUUCAAGUCUGGGCACAGUGGCUGAUACCUGCAAUCCCAGCACCUUGGGAGGCCAAGGCAAGUGGAUUACUUGAGCUCAGGAGUUCAAGCUACCAGGCAGGCCAAGAUGAGAGGAUGGCUUGAGCCCAGGGAGGCAGAUGUUGCAGUGAGCCAAGAUGACACCAUUGCACUCCAUCCUGGGUGACAGAGCCAGAUCCUA